UACGUAGGGUGCAAGCGUUGUCCGGAAUUAUUGGGCGUAAAGAGCUCGUAGGCGGUCUGUCGCGUCUGCUGUGAAAACUCAGGGCUUAACCCUGAGCUUGCAGUGGGUACGGGCAGACUAGAGUGCGGUAGGGGAGACUGGAAUUCCGUGGUGAUAGCGGUGAAAUGCGCAGAUAUCAGGAGGAACACCGGUGGCGAAGCGGGUCUCUGGGACCGUAACUGA
rnacentral:rRNA from 1 species